rnacentral:rRNA from 1 species
GACGGGGCCCGCACAAGCGGAGGAACAUGUGGUUUAAUUCGAUGAUACGCGAGGAACCUUACCUGGGCUUAAAUGUAGAGCGACAGAUCGGGAAACUGGUCCUUCUUCGGACGAUCUACAAGGUGCUGCAUGGUUGUCGUCAGCUCGUGCCGUGAGGUGUCGGGUUAAGUCCCAUAACGAGCGCAACCCUUAUCGCUAGUUGCCAGCGGGUAAUGCCGGGGACUCUAACGAAACUGCCGGUGUAAACCGUGAGGAAGUGGGAUGACGUCAAAUCAGCACGGCCCUUAUGUCCAGGGCGACACACGUGUUACAAUGGCCGGUACAGAGGGCAGCUACCUGGUGACAGGAUGCAAAUCUCCAAAACCGGUCUCAGUUCGGAUCGAAGUCUGCAACUCGACUUCGUGAAGCUGGAUUCGCUAGUAAUCGCGCAUCAGCCAUGGCGCGGUGAAUACGUUCCCGGGCCUU